UACGAAGGGUGCAAGCGUUACUCGGAAUUACUGGGCGUAAAGCGUGCGUAGGUGGUGAGUUAAGUCUGUCGUGAAAGCCCCCGGGCUCAACCUGGGAAUGGCGAUGGAUACUGGCUCGCUAGAGUGCGGUAGAGGAGAGUGGAAUUCCCGGUGUAGCAGUGAAAUGCGUAGAGAUCGGGAGGAACAUCAGUGGCGAAGGCGGAACUCUGGGCCGGAACUGACGCUGAGGAGCGAAAGCGUGGGGAGCGAACAGG
rnacentral:rRNA from 1 species